UAUCUUGUUUUCUGCGUCAUUUGUGGGCCAAUCUGCGCCUUCCAUAGGUUCCUGCAAUUGGAAAAAUGUCCCUGAUCUUUUGGUUUUUUUCAAGGUCUGCCAUGAUAUGGUGAUUACGAAGUGAUUCCAGCUCAAAAUAUAAAUGCUUUUUGAUGAUUUCGCACGUUCUGGGCCAUACAUUUGAUUUGCUUUCACACCGUGGCCUAAAAAGAGGCUUCGACUUCGACUUCGGCUUCCUGUUCAACAAGUAAAAGGCCUGCCCAGGUACCUGCUUCGUUUUAAUCAAAUUAAUUCCACACAUUUCCCGUAUCCAACUUUUAAUCAUACGAGUAUUUCGCCUGCCA